rnacentral:lncRNA from 1 species
CAACAAAAUUGGAAGUUGGAUUUGUAACUAGAAUCUAGAAAAAUAGAUCAACAAACUAGCAAGUGACAAAUCAAUAAAGUACCAACCAGUAAUCAUAUAACAAGAUUACUAAUCCUCUACUAGAACAAGGGGAAAAAAUUCAUCCAUAUCAUCAUUUACUAAUUACAAGUAAGAUCUUCAAGAAGAAUUCUAUUAGAUUAUUUAAUAAUAAAUAGUUUACAUAUCAGAAAUAUUAAAUUAUUUCGCAUUAUUUUCAGCAUAUAUUUCUAUCUCUUCUUUUCAACCACACAUUCUUUAAUGAAAUAAUAUUAUACGCAAACCCGAAAUUUUUCUUUAUUUUUUAACUACAUAUUCUCAAUCAAUCUGAUAUGUCAAAAUGCAUUCUUACAAUGAAAUGAAGCUCAAACAGGCUCUAAAUUUAAUUCUGUUCUUAAUUAUAAAAUGAAAUUCAAAUAAAUUGGUAGAAAAAUAAUAAUUACCAGUUCAUUAAAAUUUCAAAAUUACUUAAAUGAGAAGUAUAUCAAUUUAGUAUUACAAAAGUAACUUUAAUUUUAGCUUAUUUUAAAUAUACAAAACUAAAAACUAAACCCUGUUGCCAACAAAUUUGGAUCAAUACAUAACUCCUUUUUGCCAUCCUUUUGGUUCAUUACUAGAUCUAAACCUGCUUAGCCUAUGUUUGGCUCAUGUCUGUCUAUAAAUACUUGAGCAACUUUUAUCCUUAUAUUUCAAGUACUAUCCACUUUUCCAUAACUCAUUUUUAUCUAUUUUUAUUUAAGCAGUUCAUAACUUUCCAAACAUGCUUUUAAUAAAACCGUUAGAUUCCAAAAUACUUUCACAAAAUUCUAUUUUCAUCAGCUAAAAAUCAUCAAAUAAUGUACAGUAAGGGAACUCAUCUUGAAUGUGUCAUGAGCUCAUCCAUGUCUUAGGUGAAAAGAUGAGUUAUGAGAACUUUGGUGCAAGCCCAUAGUGAUAGGAAUUCUCUACCAUCAUAACCACAAUAUCUCAUGGUCAUGAUUGCAACUAUACUAUUCCAUUUCUGACCACAUAAAAGCGUCAUAACGGCUUUUGCAGAAAUUUCAUAUUCUAAGUCUGCCAGCAAGUAAUUGUUUUCCAAACAUUUAAUUACUUACAACUGACAUAAAUGUAGAUAUUGAAAAAAGUACUGCUGCUUAUAAGUGAAUAAGUAAUGUACAGGUAACAUUUUUAAGUUUACCAAAACGAGCUCUCCACAAGUCAUAAGUUAAAGUGCCUGCCUCAGUCACUUUGUGAACAUUGUCCGGAACAUCUUCUUCCUGACAUUUGUUCCUUGAGACCGUGUUCUGUCCUGACUUUCUGCUGUCAUAGCAUUCAUGAGAACAAUGUAUCCAUUGGCGUUCCUUUUAUUCAAAUUAGUAAUUAUCUAGACAAUUCUGUUGUGGACAAUAAAGAUGCUACAUCCUCGAUGUUUCGUCUUAUGUUCAACACCAUUUAGAUCUCGAGUCUUUGGAUCACUUCUCUGUGUAUGUUGUAUGCUUUAUCUUUAGUUUUUUCUGAGUUGCUCCACCACAUUGCUUUCCAUUUAUUUUCUCCAAUUCCUUCUUUUACUGCAUCUUUCCCCCCCUUUUGUGCAAUUAGCUUGGUUGUGUGGAGUUUUGAAAUAUAGUUUUGAUGAGCAUUUUUAUUGGCAUCGACGAUUCCAUUUCAUCUCUAUUGUAAGUGUCCAAUUCUCUACUAGUCAAUGAUAUUGUUCUUUUGCUAGCAUUUCCUUCAAGGUUUUGUUAGAAAGCACUCGAAUCAGCUGAUCUUCUAUUCUCUUUCACUGUGACAACGUCAUGUGAGUAUUGAGAUUAACAGUUAGGCCAAAAUUUCACGGUGGCAUCCUAAUAAGUUUGCCCACCAGUCUAGGUUACAAGUCAGCCUAGUUGAUGUCAUCCAUUAUUGGGUAAAUCAUCGUUCUUACUCAUUGAGAAAGCUGCAACAGUAAUUAAUACUCGCGUGGAAUUCUGCCAUUGUCCUCCCUCAUCCAUUUGGCACUCAAAACUUGUAUUACUUUCUUGUUGGCUUCAUUCAAUAUGUUUGAAUUAAGUGUAUUCCAAAGGGCGGGUGACCUAAUAACUGUUCUUGUUAUUAGUUUGUGGUCAAAGUAGUUUAUUUUGGGGCUUUGCCUUGUUUAAUUAUUGGUGCAGCGGUGGUCAUGAAUGCCUGUGCUGUUGUAGAUGUUUGAACUUUUAUCUGGUGUACCUUACACGUGAAAUUAUAUAUAUAUUUUUUCGGUAUUGUUUUCUAUUUGCGAGGAGCUUCUUUACGAGGUCGGGCACUUCUUUUUUUGUUGCUCUAGGCUUAUUUUUUAUGGUGGGUCAUUUUUUAGUUUCUUUGUUCUUUCAUUUAUUUAGAUGAAUAAAAGGAAGGAGAAACUUUUUUCUUGUCAUUGGAUGUUUCUUCUUUUCGGAAGGUUUGUGUCUUUGACUGUAUCCUUAACUAUUCUUCGGCACAAUUAUGACAAUUUAUAUGCUAUGUAUGCUCUGUUUUUUUUUUUUCCUUUCUUUUUAACAUGCGCGACUAGCAAUAAAAUUAUCUCUCUUGUAUAUUCAUUUUCCCAAAAGAUGCGAAUAUCUGGUUGUUUUUGUCUACUGAAUUUACAGGUCUAAAUAAAUUUUAGACUACGUCUUUAAUAUAUCUGCUGGGGAAUGAUUGUUUUGUGGCAUUAUUAGAAGCACAUCUGCAUAACCUUUCAUAUUUGUUCAUCGUCGUGUAUAUUUAUUAUGUGCAUAUAUGUGCUGCUUUUAAUCCUGGACUAUAAUCCACUUGUACACUUAAAAAAAAGUUAACAAGGCUCUGACUUUAAAUUUGUAUAAUUUACUACCAAUUCGGGCCAUUUUGGUAUUGCUGUGUUCAAUAUUUCUUCGCAAUCAAGCUCGUGUGCUGUGUGCAUAUUUCUUUUGCUUGCCUGGUUCUCAAGUUGAAAUGGCAAUGUGCAUUAGGAUGAUUUUCGGGCAUGUCAUGUUUCGUUCCGGAUUAUCCAAAUAUUUAUGCUCGAUAGGAUUCUUUGCAGUUUUGGCUUCUAUAUAUCCGUAAUUGGAGCUUAUCUUUUUUUGUGUUAUGCUCUCAAGGCAUAAUAAACUAUGCAUGGCAGUUGCUUGUUUUACAAGUUAAUGUACCCAAGUCGACAAGGUGGAGACACAAUAAUGCUAUAACUUUUGGUGGUUAUAUUACUAUAUUAUAUAUAGCUAGAUAUGGCUUCUUCCUUUGAUAAAUACAUAAUGCAACCAAUGAUAGCUUUAGAAACCUUUGGAAAAUCCAAAUGGGACAAAGUUUUGGUAUUAUUUAGGAACCUUAGCUGGA